rnacentral:lncRNA from 1 species
AUGCUUUGCAAGGACAGCACGCAAGGGGCCGUUUGCACAGGGCUCUUUGCAUGGGGCAGCACGCACAAGGCUGUUGCACGGGGCUGUUGCACAGGACUACUUUGCACAGGGCUCUAUGCACAGGGCCAUCAGUACAGAAUGCUUUGCAAGGGCAGCAUGCACGGGGCUGUUUGCACAUGGGACCGUUUGCACGGGGCCUUUUGCACAAAGCCCUUUGCACAGGACUCUUUGCACAAAGCAGAGCAGUUUGCACAAGAGCUCUUUGCACAGGACCUUUUACACGGGGCUCUUUGCACAUGCAGCACACCCGGUGCAGUAUCUGCAGUUAGUUUGCACAGUGCCGUGUCAUUGCACGUUGCACAUUGCAUGCUGCACGUUGCACAUUGUUGCACGCUGUGUGUUGCAUGCAGUGCAACCCCAACGUUGCAUGUUGCACGUUGCAUGCUGUGUUGCACAACAUGCAAUCCCAACGUUGCACAUUGUUGCACGCAGUGUUGCACGCUGUGCAAUCACACCAUUGCAUGUUGUUGCAUGCUGUGCUGCACGCCAUGCAAUCCCAACAUUGCACAUUGCAAGCAGUGUGUUGCGUGCUGUGCAACCCCAACACUGCAGGUUGCAUGUUGCACGCAGUGCUGCAAGCUGUGCAAUCCCAACAUUGCAGGUUGCACAUUGCACGCUGUGUUGCAUGCUGUGCAAUCACAGCAUUGCAGGUUGUUGCAUGCAGUGCUGCAAGCCGUGGAACCCCAACACUGCAGGCUGCACAUUGGAAGCAGCGUCGCAUGCCAUGCAACCCCAACAUUGCACAUAGCAGGUUGUUGCAUGCACUGUUGCAGUCCAUGCAAUCCCAACAUGGCAGGUUGCACGCAGUGUUGCAUGCCGUGCAACCCCAACGUUGCAGGUUGCACGCUGUGUUGCUAUCACAACGGUGCAUGUUGCAUGCCGUGUGUUGCACACCACGCAACCCCAACGUUGCAGGCUGCUGCACACUGUGUUGCAUGCCGUGCAAUCCCAAUGUUGCAUGCUGCAUGCUGUGUUUUGCACGCUGUGUUUUACACGCUGUGUUUGCAAGCUGUGUUUUACAUGCUGUGUUUUGCACGCUGUGUUUGCACGCUGUGUUUUGCACACUGUGUUUUGCACACUGUGUGUUGCACGCUGUGUUUUGCACGCUGUGUUUUGCAUGCCAUGUUUUGCACGCUGUGUGUUUGCACACUGUGUUUUGCACGCUGUGUUUUGCACGCUGUGUGUUGCACUCUGUGUUUGCACGCUGUGUUUUGCACGCUCUGUUUUAUCACCCCCUGUCCGUGUUCCUGCAGUUGCACACAAGGUCGUUUCCUGUUGCUCAAGGACUUCCUGCCCGGGAACAUCCCGGCCCCACAAACAACCCCGCCCCAUAGUGACCCUAUAGCCACCCCAUAG